rnacentral:lncRNA from 1 species
AAGCAUCUGGUGGUUUUAUCAAAGUGCAUCCCCCAUGGGUGUGAGAAGAUUCCUUUAGUAGAGUACUUAUGAUAAGAGGGGCAGGUUAUGUGGUGAAGACAUUAAGUAAUUCAAAUAUUUAUUCAUGAAAUUUUGACUUUGCCCAAUCAUGUACUAGGUCUAAAAUAGGCUCAAUUUAGGAUGCAGGUGCAAGAAUGCUUGCUUAAUUAGAUGUAUGUAUCAUGGUUAGCCCACCUAAGAUGGGGUUAAUUGGGCAAUGCUGGGGUUAAAGUGAAUAAAAUUAGAUUUGGAUCGAAUGCAAUCAAGCAUGAAUGGAUAAGAUUGAAUGUGAUCAGGUUUGAUCGGAUGAGGUUUCUUCCUACACGCAUAUUCCAUAUAUUGGAAUUGGAUUAAGAAGCUUGAGUUGUUGAACAUUGUUGUAGGACAUCAAAAGAUAUGUAGCAG